rnacentral:tRNA from 1 species
GCGGGAUAGCUCAGUCGGUAGAGCGAGGGACUCAUAAGCCUUAGGUCAUCGGUUCAAGCCCGAUUCCCGCC